rnacentral:misc_RNA from 1 species
AAAGUCUAUAUUUGACUCUUACAUAUUAACAUUGUGAAGGAAAAAUCUUGGGAGAGUUACAGCGCUUCGCUAUAAUGAAAUAAAAUGCUAGUUAUUUUGAAGCGAACUAAAAAUUGUGAGAAGAACAGGAGGAUUUGAAAAGAUUUUUCAAAAGUUCGAAAGAUUACAUGAUUAAUGUAAAUUUUGGAUUUCCUCGCUGGUUAAUCUUAAUUCAUUACAACUACUGGUAGCAUGAUGAAUCAUCAGGAAUUUAUGCCAGUACUCUGUUAGAAGUUGGUGAAGUGAUUAAUUUUCAAUGAGAUUAAAGCAUAAUUUGUCUUGUGCAAAGGAGAUUAUAAUUUGCUGGCUUGUCAUUUUAAUCUUUAAUCAUAUUUUCGCAAAGGGAUUAAAAUGGUGGAUUUUUCGGGGGAUUUUUAAUA